CAGAAAUCGGUCAGAGUUGUUGCCACUUCAGCCACCUAACUGCUGCUCUCUGUCCUCUGCCAGGUCAUUUCCUGCCGACUCCUCUGAAUCCCACUGUUUCCAUGGAUCUUGUCCAUCUGUAGCUGGAUGCCUCUUGACUAUUCUUCUCUAGUUUGGGUUUCCAGGUCAUGCCCAUUGAAAUAUGUAAGAAACCAACUAUCGCAUGAAAUGUGGUGGUUUUAAAAGCUUACAACCGCCUUUUCACAAACUGCUGUCCUCAUGUAGCAGGCCCGUGGAGAUGGAGAAGGCAUGGUGCCAAGAUGAGCAAGAAACAGAUGCAAGCAAAUAAGUGAUGAUCCUUGCUACAUUGAGGAAAAACUCAAAGGAGCCAGGAAAGAAAGAAAAAUAAUGGAUUUGGGAGCACGGGUGAAAGGUGUGUUGGGAGGUAGGCAUACUUCCAAGAGGGAUGGUUACUAAGUAUACACAAACGUUGACCCAGCU
rnacentral:lncRNA from 1 species